rnacentral:lncRNA from 1 species
CCCCACGUGCACGACCCCUCGCUUGCAUGUCCCGCGCACGGCCCUCACUCGCCUCGCCCCGGUUCUCCUCGCAAACCGCCCCAUCCCACACCUCUGCUUCCUCCGACGCACAUGGCGGCGAUGCCAACACUCCCCAUCAUAUGCAUUGUUGGGAGGGGGGAGGGCGGCUAGGGCGCCAUCGACGUCUGCGUCCUCCUCUACGAGGUGGCCGCCAUGGACGCGGAAGACCAUGAGGUCUCCAGGUCUGUCGCUGGCUCGCUGAAGGGUACCUGAAGCAUGGCCGUCAGCCAAGAGACUCGCCGUCUACCUCCACCAGCCAUGUCGAACGCCAUUUCUCCGGCGGGGUGGGGGCGGAGCGACAUUUUGGAGAUGUACGAGAGCACGUAGCGGCAGUUGCUCUCGGCCUGGGACGGCGUGGCCCGCGUCGAGAGGCUCGCCUCAGCGUCCAUGUCGUCCUCCUACUCCUCUGUUGGCCCAGAUCCGACGCCGAGUACUUUCCGACGACGGUGACGAUCGACGACGAAGACGAACCACUGGCUGAACUCGACGGAGUAUUUCAUGUCGAGAUGUACUGCACCAACAUAGUACAGCUAGCAAGCUAGCAAGCUGCUUGAUCGAUCCGAAGCAUCCCACGCACGUAGCCGGCGUAUAGCCACAUGCUCGUAUCGAGCCUGGUUCUUUUGUUUAUUGAUCUCAACUCUUGGUGCUCUUACAACGCAGGGGUAUAUGGAUAUUCAAAGGAGAUAAGCUAGUCCUAAACUAGUCCUAGUUCAAUUACAAAUCCUAUGCUAGGUGACUGUUCCGGUUCAACACGAACUCGGACGCCGUGGUUAACUCCAACAAUCACCCCCCUAAACACGACGUCGUUACGUUACAGCUUCGACGCCGAUCCUUCUUUGCACCUUCAAGAACUUCUCCCGAUUUAAAGCCUUGGUCAGGAUGUCCGCCAACUGAUCAUCGGUGCGAUUGUAGUUGACCUUCGCCUUCUCUUCUUCCACGCAGUUCUUCAUGUAGUGAUACAUUGUAUCAAUGUGCUUGCUCCUAUCAUGCCGCACUGGAUCCUCGCAUAGAAAAAACAUAGACCCGCUGUCAACUUUGAGCACCACUUGUUCCGUAUCUCGAUCCAUGAGAUCACUGUGUAGCCUUAGCCACACAUCUUGACACUCUGCUUCACUUGAAGUCGAUGUCAUCACUUUCUGCUUUCGUGAUAGCCAUCUUACUAUGCUUCCACCAAGGAAAUAUGCCACGUCCGAGGUACUCUUACGGUCGUCCUUGUCACUAUCACUAUAGCCGAGUAGUUUCACCAUCUCCUUCUUGCUCAACUCAAGACGAGGUUCCAUUGAAGCAUCAAUUGGAUUGCAAUCUCUCAUGCCACAGUUUUCAAGUAGCUUCCUUGCGUAUGCCUCCUGGCAUAGUGUGAUCUCUUCCAUCUUAUGAUGUACCUCUGGUCUGAGGUAGCAACUCAAAAGACCUAGAUCAUCCAUCUUGAAAAACUCCUUCAUUUGUAGCUUGAACUUUGCAAUCACCUCUUCAUAUGCUCCAGUUAUCAAUAGAUCGUCGUCGUAGAUGCCAACUAGUAGACAAUCCCUUCCUUCACCUCUCUUGUACAUUGCAUGCCCGAGUGGGGCUUUCUCAAAUCCAAGAGAAAUCAUAGUCUGAUCAAGUUUGAUGUUCCACGCCCGAAGGGCUUGCCGUCGCCCAUACAAGACUUUGUGUAGCUUCAAUACCUCGUGUCCUUCUCCCUCUUUGAUGAAACUCGAUGGUUUAUUCACAUACACAUCUCCUUCGUUUAAAACCGUGGAUUUUACAUCCAUGUGAUGUAUCUUCCAUGAUUCUUGAGCUGCGAGAGCGAUGAGUAAUCUCAUCGAUUCCAUCCGUGCAACGGGAACGAACACUUCUUUGAAGUCCAUACCUUCAUCUUGCAUGUACUCUUUGGCUACUAGCUUCGCUUUGUGCUUCACACAAUUUUUUUCAGCUUCUUUCUUGAUCAUAAAUUCCCACUUGAGCUCCAUGGUUUUUUCAUUGUUGGGAAGAUCCACAAGCUCCCAUGCAUUGUUGUCGUGGAUCGACCCCAACUCUUCUUUCAUAGCAUGACGCCAACACUCCUUCGUAUUUGCGCCUUCAAAUUUCGCCGGUUCCUUGGCGCUUGCUAGACACCGUUGCCUACUCCCUUUGAUCUUUACCGGAUCAAUCGUCCGAAGAGUAUCCUCCGGAUAUGAAUGAAACACCGGUUGUAGCUUUAUGGAUAUAGGUGGUGGUGUCCUUUCCUCCAUUACUGUCAGAGGUGACAUGAAAAUUUCUGCUGCGCGCGUUUCUUUUGGCGAAGCAAAAAAUCCAACCCGAAUUGAGCUUCCUAACUUUUCACCUGAACUAGGCACCAAAGCAGAUUGGCCUCCUUCUCCCUCUGGACCAUGCUGGACAACCUUCACGCCUGAGUUGCAGCCUAGUGGAACUUCUCUUGAUGAGCCAAGCCCAUCCGUUCCACCACUUAAAGAUCCUCCACGCAGGCCACCAGCAGCUCCGGCCCGAACUGGGUAAGUGGUGCUGUUCUUCGGCCUUUCUGGUCCAUCUCCUUUGUGCGUCCCAAACGUAGCACAAGGUCCACGAUUGCCACUACUAGCUGUUGCGCUCAUGUCUACUUUUGCAUUAGCGUCAACAGAAAUGUCAUUUGUGUCUGUAACAUCGACACAAAAUUCAGAAUUACCUCUCGCAUCAGUAGCUUCGACACGAGUUUUGGAAUCACCCCUCAUGUCUGUAGCAAGGCCGCUUCUCCAUGGCCGAGCACACGCAAUGAGCGCUUCCUUCGCUCCAGCAAAGUUGGCACUUACACCCAUAGCAUUGAUGUAAGUUUCAGAAUCACCCCCCGCAUCUAUAGCAUCGAUACGGCAUUCUGAACCAUGAUCUUGAGAGAAAACUUUUCCUUCACGGAGUGCGGCAAUUUCUUUAGCCGAUACUUCAAGAACUGGAUCCUCCUCGUCCACGAGUUCACACAUCAACAUCAUGUCACCUUCAUCUCCUUGCUGGGCCAUGAGCGCCUUCUCCUUUGGGGGAUUCUUGCACUCCGACUUGAAGUGCCCCAUGAUGCCACAAUUGUGACACUUGAUCUUGCGCUUGUCGAACUUCUUCUUCUUCUUCGGAGCGCCAUCGUUGACGUCCUUCUGACUUUGUUCGUUUGGCACACGAUCUUGGCGAGCGUAACUGCUAGAGCCCUCACCUUCUCUCCUUGAGUCCAGCGCCUGCCACUGAGCCCGCGUGAGCAUGACAUGCUCAUCGUUCAUCCCGUCCCCGAGACUGUACCUCAUACGCUCGUCGUGAGCCUUGUAGCGUCCGACGAAAUCAUCAAUAGAGAGGGUCGCGAGAUCGACGCACUGCUCGAUCGCCGUGACAAUUUGCAGGUACCGAGGAGGAGCCGCGCGCAAGAACCGACGGACAACCGAGGCCUCCAUGAGGUUUUCUCCAAGUGCGCGGAUCCGAUUGACGAGAGUAGCAACCCGUGAAGCGAACGCGUCCACGGACUCAUUAUCGCCCAUGACCAAAGUCUCAUAGUUCCUUAAGAGAGUUUGGAGAUUGGCUUGCUUGACGCGGUCGUGUCCCUCGAACAUGAGCUCCAAGGUAUCCCACACCUCCUUCGCCGUUUCUUUGGCGAUUAGGUGUUGGAGGACAUCCAUCGACAUCGCCGAGUAAAUCGCCGAUGCCGCCUGCCGAUCCUUCCAGUGCUCGGCUCCCCCCUUCUUGAAAGCGUCGCCUCCUGGAUCGACUGCGUCCCACAACACGUUGGCGCAGAGACCACACUCCAUCAGUGCCUUCCAGACCCUGAAGUUCUCGCGGUCAAAUCGUGGGUACGACGAACUCGCUGGAGCAGCAAAUACUUUAGCCGCACCGGAGUACGCCGCCAGCUGCUUAUCCUUGUUGUCCUUCGACAUGAUCUUCCGUUACUAAAAGAUCAACCUUGCUCUGAUACCAAUUUUUGGCCCAGAUCCGACGCCGAGUACUUUCCGGCGACGGUAACGAUCGACGACGAAGACGAACCACUGGCUGAACUCGCCGGAGUAUUUUACGUCGAGAUGUACUGCACCAACAUAGUACAGCUAGCAAGCUAGCAAGUUGCUUGAUCGAUCCGAAGCAUCCCACGCACGUAGCCGGCGUAUAGCAACAGGCUCGUAUCGAGCCUGGUUCUUUUGUUUAUUGAUCUCAACUCUUGGUGCUCUUACAACGCAGGGGUACAUGGAUAUUCAAAGGAGAUAAGCUAGUCCUAAACUAGUCCUAGUCCAAUUACAAAUCCUAUGCUAGGUGACUGUUCCGGUUCAACACGAACUCGAACGCCGCGGUUAACUCCAACAUCCUCCUCGGUGCCGCUCUUCGGUGCGACAGACCCGACGGGAGCCGAGGGAAGU